rnacentral:rRNA from 1 species
GUGUAGCAGGCGCGAAAACUCCGCAAUGCGCGUAAGCGUGACGGGGUCAUCCCGAGUGCCGUCCGCUGAGGAUGGCUUUUCUCCGGUCUAACCAGCCGGAGGAAUAAGGAGAGGGCAAGUCUGGUGUCAGCCGCCGCGGUAAUACCAGCUCUUCGAGUGGUAGGGAUGUUUAUUGGGCCUGAAGCAUCCGUAGCUGGCUGAACAAGUCCUCCGUUAAAUCCAGCGAUUUAAUCGUUGGAUUGCGGGGGAUACUGCUCGGCUAGGGGGUGGGAGAGGCCAACGGUAUUCUCGGGGUAGGGGUGAAAUCCUAUAAUCCCGGGAGGACCACCAGUGGCGAAGGCUGUUGGCUAGAACACGCCCGACAGUGAGGGAUGAAAGCUGGGGGAGCGAACCGGAUUAGAUACCCGGGUAGUCC